AGUGAACGCUGGCGGUAGGCCUAACACAUGCAAGUCGAACGGCAGCACAGUAAGAGCUUGCUCUUACGGGUGGCGAGUGGCGGACGGGUGAGGAAUACAUCGGAAUCUACUUUUUCGUGGGGGAUAACGUAGGGAAACUUACGCUAAUACCGCAUACUACCUACGGGUGUAAUCAUGGGAGCUUCGGACCUUUCGCGAUUGAAUGAGCCGAUGUCGGAUUAGCUAGUUGGCGGGGUAAAGGCCCACCAAGGCGACGAUCCGUAGCUGGUCUGAGAGGAUGAUCAGCCACACUGGAACUGAGACACGGUCCAGACUCCUACGGGAGGCAGCAGUGGGGAAUAUUGGACAAAGGGCGCAAGCCUGAUCCAGCCAUACCGCGUGAGUGAAGAAGGUCUUCGGGUUGUAAAGCCCUUUUGUUGGGAAAGAAAAGCAGCAGGUUAAUACCCCGCUGUUCUGACGGUACCCAAAGAAAAAGCACCGGCUAACUUCGUG
rnacentral:rRNA from 1 species